rnacentral:lncRNA from 1 species
AGAGAAUCUCCAAACCUUGCUGUAACCUCUAUAAAAACCCCGCUAAUUUGGAACUCGGGGCUCUCAAUCUCAAUCCACUGUGUCGGUGACAAAUGAGAGUCCCUGCUUAAGCUUGAAUAAACGACCCUCAUGUGCUUACAUCGGAAACGGCCUCCUGGUGGUCUUUGGGACCUUACAAUCUGGGCACAACACAUGUUCGAUGGAAAUUCUUUAAGUCCUGCACAGGCAUUAUAUAUCUAUUUUCAGAUAACCAGAAUGUCAUCACUCAAGAUGCACAUUAGGACAUGGCAGCUAUCCCUACACACAGAUCUUGGUGGCUAUCUGUUGGUUGUCUCUCUAGAGGGAGACCUGGAACCCCGGAAAGCACCAACUUUUAAAGGAAGAAAAGGAGACAGCCUGGGGGGUGAACAGCAGUUUAAUUCCUCUGGCAUGAUUCGACCAUCACAAAGGGAAGAAGCAAGGCUUUUAUACAUGUAGGAAAGCAGCUUAGUUGUUCUAUCAUCUUUCAGAUUUUAACCUCUGGUAACAAAUGACUUUAAGUGACUCAUAAAAGCUACAGGCGAAUUCACAAGUCCCCCGUUUCCGUUCACCAAUCCCGUACAUCAAAGAGCACCCGGCAGCCCUCUUCUUAUCAGACGGUACCAAGGGAGCAGAACGACUUUAGCUAAAAUCAAGCCCACCGGCCCACAAACAUCACAGAUGUGCACAGUGAGUCGUAUCUCUCUCACCACCUGUAGAGUCAUUGGGUUGUGGUCCUCUGAUCCCAGGCAAUGGCAAAUAAGAAAACUAGGAAAACCUGUUUUUCUCCCAUGAAACUUUCACCAGGUCUCUUAAAGUUUUCUGGCAUUCUUUUAACAAACAGACUUGUGGAAUUUCCCAUAAAUGACUUAA